CGGGGAGUAGCGCAGUCCGGUAGCGCACUCGUUUAGGGUGCGAGUGGUCGCGGGUUCAAAUCCCGCCUCCCCGA
rnacentral:tRNA from 1 species